UUUUCUCAGGCCGUCAUGACCUUGUAUUGUUUAAAUUCUACUUUCUAGUGAGGUUUCUAAGCCAUUAUCCCUAUGAACAAAGAAGAAAUUAAGUUAUCCAAGUGUAGAGAUGCUAAGGUUACACGUGCGUAAGCUGUGGACGUUUAGAACGAAAGCUAUUCUAGCUGAAUACUUACUAAUGAAAAUCGGUAACCAUCUUGAGUUAGGUGCUCGGUUCCCACAAUUCUGAAAUAUCCACUUCACGGCAAAGAUGAAAUGAAGAGAGUGUAUUGACCUUUCCUUUACGUUUAUUGUAUUUCCUGGGCUGACAUGAGAUCGCAAUGUUAUUUUCGUUUGUCUAAAAUACACAGAAUCUUUCUGUAACUGAAAUAGGGUCACCUCUUCCCUUCCCUCAUUUCUUUGUUCUCUUCCCCACUGUGUAUACAUGCACACACACGCGCACACGCACACACACACACACACACAGCAUGAUCUUCAAACAACAUAACAAAGACAGGACCUGGAAACUCAAAAUACACUGUCAUCUUUCUGCCAAAACUGUGCGUGAGAAGGCAGCAUAUCCUUACAUUUUCCCUAUCUUUCUUCUCCACUUUUUUCAGCAUCGUCCAGGGAGGUUGACCAAGGUUGGAGACCCGGGCUAGAAAGCCCAUUUAUGACAGUCUGACUCCAUUACAGGCUGAGCUGAGGACACAUCUGGAACCCAUUUCCUGCCGGGGUGGACGGUGAUGCCUGGCUGCAGUCAGCACUGCGCGGAGUCUCUCCUGUCUGGCUGUGCCCCUCCCGGCUACAGCCUGAGAACGUGGCUCCUAGGGAAAGUGUUUAUGUGUUUAUGUGACCACAGGGGAAAUGUGGACCCAGGACAACCCACAGAGAGAAUGCCACGUGAAGAUGUAAGCAGAGAUGGAGUGAUGAUUUAUAAGCCGAGGGAUGCCAAAGGUGGCCAGCUGACCACCAGAAGGCAGGGGAGAAGCCUGGAGCAGACUCUCCUUCCCAGCCUCGGAAGGAACCAACCCUGCCAACGCCAGAUCUCAGACCUCCAGCCUCCAGGACCGUGAGACAAUAGGGUUCCAUUGUUGAAGCCACUUGGUUUGUGGUACCUCCUUACAGCAGCCCUUGCAGAUGAAUUCAGUCCCCUUCUGUGUUUUAUGUAACAGUCAAGUAGCUAUCAGAAUUAAGAUGGACUGAGGAACUGGGAAUGUGGUUUGGUGCAGCCAUCAUAGAAAAUAGUAUGGAGAUUCCUCAAAAACCUAAAAUGAUCCAGCAAUCCCACUUCUGGGCAUGUAUCUGGAGGAAACUCUAAUUUGAAAAGAUAUAUGGACCCCACUGUUUGUAGCAGCACUAUUUACAAUAGCUAAGACAUGGAAGCAACCUACCUGUCCAUCUAUAGAUGACUGGAUAAAGAAGAUGUGGUAUGUAUACAAUGGAAUACUACUUGGCCAUAAAGAAGAAUAAAAUAAUGCCAUUUGCAGCAAUAUGGAUGGACUUGGAGAAUGUCAUACUAACUGAACUAAGCCAGAAAGAGAAAGAAAAAUACUGUAUGAUAUCACUUACGUGUGGAAUCUAAAAAAAUGACACAAAUGAACUUAUUUACAAAAGAGAAACAGACUCACAGACAUAGAAAGCAAACUUGUGGUUACCGGGGGAAAGGGGGUGGGAAGGGAUAAAUUGGGAGUUCAGCAUUUGUGGGUACUACUAUAUAUAAAACAGAUAAACAGCAAGGACGAACUGUAUAGCACAGGGAACAAUGUAUAUUCAGUAUCUUGUAAUAACCUAUAAUGAAAAAGAGUAUGAAAAGAAAAUAUAUAUAUAACUGAACCACUAUACUGUACACCAGAAAUUAAUACAACAUUGUGAACUGACUAUACUUCAAUUAAAAACAAAUACGUAAAAAUUAAAAACAAAAAGAUGGGCUGAGGAGGAGCAAGGCCUGGAGGUGGCUGUGGGUUGGAUGAACCCUGGAGUCCCCUCUUUGGAGAUGUCAGUCGGGCUGGCCCUGGAGUUCUACACGCGGAGUGUAGACCUAUAUACCAAAUGUGCCUUUCCCGUGAGCCCCCUCUCCCAACAAAAGACUAUUCUGUUAAAUGAGAUUUGCAAUCAAGUUGUUUCUAUCAAAAAAGAAAAAGUGGUAAUUAGCCUUGAGUUUUUGUUUUUUUCCAAGCAGUUUGUUUUAGAAAUGAAAAAUACUGAAUAACUCAAAUUGGACCCAGGAGCGUGACAGAAUUUUAACUGGUUGCACUUUAUAGCCUGUGUGAUGGGGAGAAAUGUGAUCUCCACCUCAUUCUGGAUCCUUCUCUACACCUUGCAUGUGUUUGCAUGAUGAAAUGAGUUCUAAAAUACAGCUUGAGAUGUGGUGCGUGACAUACCACCGACGUAAAUGAAAUGAAUAGCUCAAAAUCACGAGUGCUGAAAGAAAAAGCAGACUUUUAAAUAUCCAGUUUCAUAAAGCAAUGCAUUUAGAAAUAAUUUGCAAACUGGAAAGGCAAUUAAAAGGGUCCUUUUACUCCACCGUGCCGCGUGUCACAACCUUUAAGGUUUAAUGAGAGUUGCUCAUUGAGUCCAGGAUUUAGCCAAAGACAUUUGGCUUGAGCGAAAACUAAGAAAAGCACUGUUAAAAUGAUUAUAUUCAAUUUAGUGCCUUUAAUACUUUCAGUGAUGCCGGAUUAGUCCAAAAGUAGGGCUUGUGGAAUCUGAGAUAUUUUGCAGUAUUUUACCUUGACAGGUCUACAGAGAUGUUUCUGUAUGCUUUAAAAGAUUUAUAUUCUAAAUGGAAAUUUCUGAACAGCAAAGAUACUGUUAAUUUUCUAUCUGUUAAAAUAGUUUAAGCUAAUAGAUGCCUGUAUUAUUUUGCUCUUCAUUCCAAAUAAAGUAUAUUUGUGUAAAAGCAA